AUUGAACGCUGGCGGCAUGCCUUACACAUGCAAGUCGAACGGCAGCGGGCCUUCGGGUGCCGGCGAGUGGCGAACGGGUGAGUAAUGCAUCGGAACGUGCCAUUGAGUGGGGGAUAACGUAGCGAAAGUUACGCUAAUACCGCAUAUUCUGUGAGCAGGAAAGCAGGGGACCGCAAGGCCUUGCGCUCUUUGAGCGGCCGAUGUCAGAUUAGCUAGUUGGUGAGGUAAAGGCUUACCAAGGCGACGAUCUGUAGCGGGUCUGAGAGGAUGAUCCGCCACACUGGAACUGAGACACGGUCCAGACUCCUACGGGAGGCAGCAGUGGGGAAUUUUGGACAAUGGCGCAAGCCUGAUCCAGCCAUGCCGCGUGAGUGAAGAAGGC
rnacentral:rRNA from 1 species